CUUCUUCUUCUUCUUCUUCUUCUUCUUCCUUCCUCUUGCUGGCUGCUGCUUCACCCACCACCACACCGCCGCCCCACGCCCUACUCACCACCACCUCUUGGCCACCGAACCACCACCACCCACCACUCGUCCGACGAGCCGUCUUGCCGUUGAGCCCGACAAGCUGUCGCGCAGCCCCUCGCCGCCUCUCGGCCCCUCGACGCACGCUCGGCCCCCUCGACGCCCUCGACGACCGCUCGGCCCUCGACGACCGCUCGGCCCCCUCGAUGCCCUUGAUGCUCGCUCGACGCCCUUGACGCUCGCUUGACACCUCUUGGUCCCUCGACGCCGCUCGACGCCCUCAACGCUCGCUCGGCCCCCUCGACGCCCUCGACGACCGCUCGGCCCCCUCGACGCCCUUGAUGCUCGCUCGACGCCCUUGACGCUCGCUCGACACCUCUCGGCCCCUCGACGCCGCCCGACGCCCUCGACACCGAAGAAACUCGCCUCCUCCAGCUUCAAUCGCAGAAGGUGGGAGACAACCAUUGGACUGGGCAUCGCGGGUGAAGAUUUCUCUAGGAGUGGCUAAAGGCAUUGCUCACAUCCAUUGGGCCAGAGGCGGGAGGUUUAUCCAUGGCAGCAUACCUUGAAGGUUGCAUUUCAGAGUUUGGCUCGACUCCUCUGAUCCGCACUCCUAUAGUGCCUCCUUGAACUAGAAGUGCAGGUUAUCGGGCUCCCGAAGUCAUGAAAACUCGGAAACCCACACAAAAAUUAGACAUCUACAGUUUUAGAGUAUUGCUCCUUGAAGGAUUGUCAAGGUGUUGGACCAUUAUGAUGAGUUCAAGCUAUUUUUCUGUGUUAAUCAUGAUUUGAAGGAUAAGCUCAAAAAAAGAGUGAGGAUUAAUAGGUAUAUGAUUGUUUAUUA